rnacentral:rRNA from 1 species
GAACUUAAGCAUAUCAAUAAGCGGAGGAAAAGAAACCAACAGGGAUUGCCUCAGUAACGGCGAGUGAAGCGGCAACAGCUCAAAUUUGAAAUCUGGCCGCAAGGUCCGAGUUGUAAUUUGUAGGGGAUGCUUUUGGCGAGGUGCCUUCCGAGUUCCCUGGAACGGGACGCCAUAGAGGGUGAGAGCCCCGUACGGUAGGACCACCAAGCCUCUGUAAAGCUCCUUCGACGAGUCGAGUAGUUUGGGAAUGCUGCUCUAAAUGGGAGGUGUACGUCUUCUAAAGCUAAAUACCGGCCAGAGACCGAUAGCGCACAAGUAGAGUGAUCGAAAGAUGAAAAGCACUUUGAAAAGAGGGUUAAAAAGUACGUGAAAUUGUUGAAAGGGAAGCAUUCAUGACCAGACUUGGGCUUGGUUGAACAUCCGGCGUUCUCGCCGGUGCACUCUGCCAGUCCAGGCCAGCAUCAGUUUGCCCCGGGGGAUAAAGGCGGCGGGAAUGUGGCUCCCUUCGGGGAGUGUUAUAGCCCGUCGUGUAAUGCCCUGGGGCGGACUGAGGAACGCGCUUCGGCACGGAUGCUGGCGUAAUGGUCAUCAAUGACCCGUCUUGAAACACGGACCAAGGAGUCGUCUUCGUAUGCGAGUGUUCGGGUGUCAAACCCCUACGCGUAAUGAAAGUGAACGUAGGUGAGAGCUUCGGCGCAUCACCGACCGAUCCUGAUGUUCUCGGAUGGAUUUGAGUAAGAGCAUACGGGGCCGGACCCGAAA